rnacentral:lncRNA from 1 species
GAGACUCGAACUCACAACCUCUCGGUUGGAAGUGGGGGUUGCUUACCAUCAGAGCAACCCCUCUUGUCUAAGAGUACAAAAUAACUUGGUAAUAGCGGCGGUUAUUUUAGCUUAUUGCGACGGUUUAAAACCGCCGCUGCAUGCAGAAAUGGCGGUCCCAGCAAACGCCGGAAUAACGUGCGCCAAAAACUUACUAAGGCGGUUCUUGAAAACUCGCCAUAAUUGAACAUUGCAGAAAAUGUCGGUUUUUAACCGCCGGCACCAUUGUCUCUAACAGGCAGCUGGAAACAACCAUAAUCGUUUUCCAAUAGGAAAUUAAUUUCCACAUUUUUUUUUUAUUACAUAUAAGGGAAAUAAGUGUUAUAAAUCCUAGAGAUGACGUUCAAUGAAUACUCGUGAUCUGCAUAGUUAUUUUCAUCGAGUGACAUUCUGGGCUGCUACGUGAUGUGCGUUACUUUCUAUAUCACGUGCCUACAAAAUAAAUAGAAGUAACAAUCGAUAAGUAAUCAAAACUCAAUCAUAAUGGAUACAAAAGGAUGGUAGUAACUAAUUUGUAUGUUGUAUCUGCAUUGUUCACAAAAGCUGAAAUUUUCUUCAAUACAACUAAAUAUAUGAUUGUUUGCUCUCAUAAUUGCAUACAAAACACAUGAAAAUCACAACCUUCAGUAAACAAACCAAAGCAAAAUAGGAUAAAGGUGAUGUAAUUACCCUUUGAGUGAAAACACAACAGAGACUCGAGAAGCCUAUGCAAACUGUGCAGCCUUGAUGGCCGAGCUGCAUAUGCAACAUUAUCUGCAGACUUAACCAAGGUUCAAUUAACACUUAUAUGGAAAGAGAUUAAAGAAUGAACUACGAAUAAUGAAGUACUAACACCAUUGUUUUUUAAAAUUAAAAGCUUACCAAGGUCUGUUAAUCAAUUACCUGGACUCUCAGGCAUACGCGACCAAUAGUGACUCAUUCAUACUCAUCUAAGUUCAUCACAAGAUGGCCACCUUCAUUAGAAUUGAUCUUUUAUUGGAAUUAACAUGUCCCAGUUGAAGCACGGAUCCCUAUGCACAUCAAUGGUAACAAAUAAUUCUUGAAUAGCAGGACAAAAUAUAGAUCAGACAUAAAAAUAGUAACUAGUAUGGUAGUCAAUUUUAACCGCGCUGCGCAUGGCCAUUUGAAGUAUCUAUUAUAGAUUUAGAUAACUUUACAGGGACAUUAGAAAAAACAGAAAUAACAGGAGAAUCUCAUCAAGAGAAUAAAUUAACAGAGGAGAAGUUACUUGCAUGCACCUUCUAGCUCAAUGAAUGUGAUUUUAUGUGAUUAAUUGUCAACAUACAGUCGCCUGAAAUUAUGAAUUAUAAGGUUGCAAUGGAGAGGUGGAAAUGGAGAAGAAAGAGGUGAUAACUAUACUAACGUAGAAAUUAUGAUUAUGAAUUAUAAGGUUGCAAUGGAGAAGUGGAAAUGGAGAAGAAAGAGGUGAUAACCAUAAUAACGUAGAAAUUAUGCACAACUUUAUCAUCCCCUUUAAUAAUGAAACAAAAAUCUUUGGAACACUUUGUUUAAAGUAACUUUGUGACUUGUAUACAUUCUUGUCUGAUUACUGCACCUAUAGAAGAAAGAUAAGUCAGAGCUGGACUUAUAUAAAAAGGAAAACUCAAUUUCCUUUUUCAGAAUAACAAAAGGAAGAUUAUAUAAAAAAGAAAACUCAAUUUCCUUCUUCAAAAUAACAAAAGGAAACCAAAAUUUUCUCAAGUUAGGAAUAGAGUGCCCAGAGUGUGGAAAAUAAUGCCAUUCCUAUUUCCCCUCAAUUGCAUUUAGCAAGAUUACAGUCAGAUUCACUCCACGAGUAUGGAAGAACUACUGACCUCUCUACUUGCAAAUGGCUUGAUGCGAGCAAUCAGAGAAAUAUACUUUAGUUUUCAUGUACUGCUAUCAUUAAACCACAAAUAUUGAUACAUCUCAGUCGACAUUUUAAAAAUCUCUCAGAAAAGUACUGACGUUAUGGAUCAUUGAACGAACAAAAUGCAAGUACGGAUGCACUUACCUUGAGACGUUUGUCAAAGUUCAGACAUGGCUGAAAAGAUUGUCGAUGAGUGUCAAUCAAUCUAUCUAACAAAUUUAUCAAUUGUAACACAGUAAUUUUAUCAAUUAAUGUUUAUCCAAAGAAUCUGGAGCUAUAGAGACCCAAUCCUGAAGCUAAACUUGACAUGUGUGUACUUCUAUCAACUAAACAAUGUCCUACUUCUCUAAAAGAAUAUAGAGAGUAAGGUAGUAGAUCCAAUAAGCAAAAGAUUACCUUUUACUAGAAUGUCGUAUGCCCAUGUAUAACCUGAUAUAUUAAGCUAAAGAAAAUAAGUCUCACUAAAACGUCCAUGCCAUUUUGAUCUCACACAAUUUUGUAGGGUAUAAAAGGAGAAACCAAAGACAAAAUGGAAGAUGACGGACUAACAUAAUGUAUCCAAAGGAAAUUAGAAACCAAAAUACUAACUGAUGACACUAGAUUAUUGCUUUUCAAUAAAAAUUUCACUAGCUUUUUAAAAUUCUAUCUCCCUUAUAGUGUCUGCAACAAAUACCAUAUCAUCCCACAGAUGUUUUGAUUUUUUAGAAUCAAAUUUUCAUUACGAACUCUACUUCACCCACAACUCUUUUUUCAGUCAACCAAAUUUCAACCACUAAUCAGACAAUUCCUUAAGAUAAACAAUAUAAAAUUAACUCUUUCUUCAGUCAACCAAAUUUCAACCACUAAUCAGACAAUUCCUUAAGAUAAACAAUAUAAAAUAGAUUUUCAAAAAAUAAAGGUAGCUAAGCGCAAAUACAACACCUAUUUUUACAGAUAAUAGAAAACUAACAAUGGAACCCUAGAUCCAAAUCAAUACAUAGUGAAAAAGGAAAUUAAAACAGAAAGGACCUGGCCGGCAUAAGGGAAGUCUCAGGACUGAAUCUUGGUCAAUGCAUCGCGAAAUUUCUUGAUUUUUGUGUGAAUAUCAUACUUUGAGGAAUACCUGUAUAUGACAAGAACUACACUUACAACCGAGAGGUUGUGAGUUCGAGUCGAGCAAGGUGUUAAAGUUCUUGGAGGUAAGGAUGCGGGGUCUAUUUGGAAACAGACUCUCUACCCAGCGUAGGUAAGCUCUGUGUACAUACUACCUUCCCAGACCCCAGUAUGUGAGAUUAUAGUGUGUUGUUGUUGUGAGGAAUACCUGUAUAUAGUAUUGAAAUAUAAGGGAGGUUUGCAUUAUUUGAACCCAUUCUCUGUUUGUUCAAGUGACUGCCUUGGGGUUCCAAAGAUAUUUCUGGAUAUGUGACGACUGAAAAUAAGAGUGGAUGAGAUAACACAAUGUGACACUUAUAAUGAUUUAACAGUUAACGCUCUCUGCCAAUGAAACAAUUACAAG